AACGAGCGCUGGCGGCAUGCCUAACACAUGCAAGUCGAACGAGACCUUCGGGUCUAGUGGCGCACGGGUGCGUAACGCGUGGGAACCUGCCCUUAGGUUCGGAAUAACUCCCCGAAAGGGGUGCUAAUACCGGAUAAUGUCUUCGGACCAAAGAUUUAUCGCCUUUGGAUGGGCCCGCGUUGGAUUAGCUAGUUGGUAGGGUAAAAGCCUACCAAGGCGACGAUCCAUAGCUGGGCUGAGAGGAUGAUCAGCCACACUGGGACUGAGACACGGCCCAGACUCCUACGGGAGGCAGCAGUGGGGAAUAUUGGACAAUGGGCGAAAGCCUGAUCCAGCAAUGCCGCGUGAGUGAUGAAGGCCUUAGGGUUGUAAAGCUCUUUUACCCGGGAUGAUAAUGACAGUACCGGGAGAAUAAGCUCCGGCUAACUCCGUG
rnacentral:rRNA from 1 species